UACGUAGGUGGCAAGCGUUGUCCGGAUUUACUGGGCGUAAAGAGCGCGCAGGCGGUCGUUCAAGUCGAGUGUGAAAGCCCCCGGCUCAACUGGGGAGGGUCAUUCGAUACUGAUCGACUCGAAGGCAGGAGAGGGAAGUGGAAUUCCCGGUGUAGUGGUGAAAUGCGUAGAUAUCGGGAGGAACACCAGUGGCGAAGGCGACUACCUGGCCUGUUCUUGACGCUGAGGCGCGAAAGCUAGGGGAGCAAACGGGG
rnacentral:rRNA from 1 species